rnacentral:rRNA from 1 species
GAUGAACGCUGGCGGCGUGCUUAACACAUGCAAGUCGAACGAUGAAGCCCAGCUUGCCGGGUGGAUUAGUGGCGAACGGGUGAGUAACACGUGAGUAACCUGCCCUUAACUCUGGGAUAAGCCUGGGAAACUGGGUCUAAUACCGGAUAGGAGCGUCCACCGCAUGGUGGGUGUUGGAAAGAUUUAUCGGUUUUGGAUGGACUCGCGGCCUAUCAGCUUGUUGGUGAGGUAAUGGCUCACCAAGGCGACGACGGGUAGCCGGCCUGAGAGGGUGACCGGCCACCCUGGGACUGAGACACGGCCCAGACUCCUACGGGAGGCAGCAGUGGGGAAUAUUGCACAAUGGGCGCAAGCCUGAUGCAGCGACGCCGCGUGGGGGAUGACGGCCUUCGGGUUGUAAACCUCUUUCAGUAGGGAAGAAGCGAAAGUGACGGUACCUGCAGAAGAAGCACCGGCUAACUACGUG